GGCAGACGGGUGAGUAACACGUGGGAACCUUCCCUUCGGUACGGAAUAGCUCCGGGAAACUGGAAUUAAUACCGUAUACGCCCCUUGGGGGAAAGAUUUAUCGCCGAAGGAUGGGCCCGCGUCGGAUUAGCUAGUUGGUGGGGUAAUGGCCCACCAAGGCAACGAUCCGUAGCUGGUCUUAGAGGAUGAUCAGCCACACUGGGACUGAGACACGGCCCAGACUCCUACGGGAGGCAGCAGUGGGGAAUAUUGGACAAUGGGCGAAAGCUUGAUCCAGCAAUGCCGCGUGUGUGAAGAAGGCCUGAGGGUUGUAAAGCACUUUCAAUAGAGACGAAAAGCCUAGGGUUAAUACCCUUGGGUCUUGACUUAACCUAUAGAAGAAGCACCGGCUAACUCCGUGCCAGCAGCCGCGGUAAUACGGGAGGGUGCAAGCGUUAAUCGGAAUUACUGGGCGUAAAGCGCUCGUAGGCGGUUUGUUAAGUCGGAUGUGAAAGCCCCGGGCUCAACCUGGGAACUGCAUUCGAUACUGACAGGCUAGAGUAUAGUAGAGGCAAGUGGAAUUCCGGGUGUAGCGUGAAAUGCGUAAUUCCGGAGGAACAUCAGUGGCAAGGCACUUGCUGGAUAAUACUGACGCUGAGAGCGAAGCGUGGGGAGCAAACGGGAUUA
rnacentral:rRNA from 1 species